rnacentral:lncRNA from 1 species
UAUAUAUAUAUAUAUAUAUAUAUAUACAUACUAUGCUAUCGAAAGUAUAGAGGAUCUGGUGCUUUCGAUUUUUUGAUUCUUAGAUCAACUCCUUUAAUCAUUUCUUAUUUUUGAAUUAAUACUAUUAUUACCUUGUAAGAACCACUCAAUCCUAGGAGUAUUAUUUAAUCCUAGGGGGGAUCGCAAUCACCCCAACCAUACAAUUCUUAAUCAAAGGGUCAAAAAUUCGAAAAUAUCAAAUCCUUUAUAUUUUCAAUAGCAUAGUAGUUCUACAUUAUAUAUAUAUAUUAAAAAAUAUAUAUAUAUAUAAUAUAUUUUAAUAAUAUAUAGCCGGAGUGAAUAAUCUGAAUUUAGUUAAAAUUGGGCUAAUGUUGUUGGCCCAUAAAAACAAACCUAAUAGACAAAUAAAAGAGCGAAAUUUCACUAAAUUUAUACAUUUUUCCUUUCUUUCUUUCUUUUACAGAGCUUAAAUUUUCAAUAUGUUUCUCUCUUUCUCUUUUUCUGUCUCUCACCAUAAGUGGCCAAGCCGGAAGCCUUCCAAGUUACCAAGUAACAGCAUAUACCCGCCGUUGCCUACCUUGCUAUUAAUUGUAUACUUGAGAAAAUAUACAGAAUAUUUUUAACGUAAAAAAUUAUUAUUUAUAUAAAAUUUUAAUUUUAGUUAUAUAUGAUUGGAUAGUUUAAUCCAAUAUUUAUCUAUAUAAUUUAUUUAUUUUUGACUGCAUAAAUGAAAAUGAAUAAUAUGGAGAUUGAAGGCGGAAGAAAAGACAUAUGAAACUGAAAUGAUUAGAUAUUCAACUCAUAAAUUUUUUUUUUUUCAUAUUAUAAUACUAUAUUUUAUAUAAUUAUUUUGUACUUUGAACUAUUAGACAUAUUUUUGUAUCAAAUUAUAGAUAAUGUUCUAUACAAAUUAAACUAUUGAUCGUAUGAUGUUGAGAAUUUCAAGCGGCUCGUUUAGGGCUCGAGCUCGCUCGACUUGAAAUUAGGCUCGCUCGAGCUCGGCUCGAAUUAAUUUCAAUCCAAGCUUGAGCUUAAAUUUAGGCUCGAAAUUAAUUUCAAGCCGAAUUUGAGCUGAGGUAAGCUCGCUCGAGCUCGGCUCGUUUCCACCCCUACAUAUAGAACUAGGCUGGAAUACUAUUAAUAGUACCAAGUUAUUGGUGCUAUUGAAUUUUUAGCCUUUGGAUUGAGAAAUAUGCAGUUAGAAUGAUGUGGGCCCUCUAGGGUUGAGUGGGUGGUUGGUUGAAUAGUAUAAUCUAACGGGUAAAAAUAAUCAAAGGAGUUAAUCUAACGGCAGAAAACUUGAUAGCACCAAGUGUUUGGUGCUAUCGAUAGCAUAGCAGCCGGACUAUAUAUAUAUAUAUAUAUAUAUAUAUAUAUAUAUAGCUAGGCUACUAUACUAUCGGUAGUACGGAGCGCUCCGUGCUACCAAGUUGUUUUCGAUGAUGUGGCUUCCAAAUCGACGAUCGGCUCCGUUAGACUUGAUCUACACUAUUGAAAGUAUUUAGAAACUAAAUUUCAUAAUUUUUCGAUAUCAUUUACCUAUCAAACAAGUAGUCUAAAAUUGAACGGCUGAAAAUAAAAAUCUCAUAAAAAAUGAUGAUAAAAGAUUUAAAUUCAAGAUCAGAUAUACUGAUCUUACUCUAAAUAGUGAAAAGAAUUUUCUAUAAAAUUUUCAUCGCAUUUGGAUUGUUUCAUACCGUUAAACUCACAAACACACCACAUCGGCUAUUAAAAUUGUCAAUUUUGAGAUCUUUUGAUCACUAGUCAAAUGAUGUUCGAAAAAAUUUGAAAUUUAGUUUUCAAAUACUUUCAAUAGUGUAGAUCAGUCUAACGGAGCGAUCGUCGAUUUGAAAGCAUCAUCGAAAACAACUUGGUAGCACGCCGAGCGCUCGUGCUACGAUACAAUAGUAGCCCGGCGACUCUAUNNNNNNNNNNNNNNNNNNNNNNNNNAACUGCUAUCACACAUUAACUGCAUCUAGAGUGUCAUGCUCGCGACUGCCAAUUUUGGUCGGUUGCGGUGGUAUACGAACAGGAUACCGAACAAGAAGAACCUCUUCCUACCGCCCAAGGCUAACUAGGCUGGAAUUCUAAUCAAUAGCACUAAGUGUUGGUGGCUAUUAGUUUUUUAGACCUGAUUGAUAAAUGUCGGUUAGGAUGUAUGUGGGACCCUAGGGUUGAGUGCGGUGGGUGGUGAAUAGUAUAUAUAAUAUAUAUAUAUAUAUAUAUAUAUAUAUAUAUAUAUAUAUAUAUAUAGAACUACGUUGGAAUGCUUAUCAAUAGCACCAAAGUGUUAGUCUAAUUAGUUUAGUUCUUGCGAUUGAGAAAUGUGCGGUUUUAGGAUGACGUUGGACCCCUAGGUGUUGAGUAGGAGUGGUUGGUGAAUAGUAUAACUAACGGAGUAAAAAAUAAUUAAAAGGGUUAACAUAAUGGUUAGAAAAUUGAUAGAAACCAAAUACUUUGUGGCUAUCGAUAGCAUAGCACCGGACUAUAUAUAUAUAUAUAUAUAUAUAUAAUUGAGUUAGAAUACUUUUAGAAGCACCAAAGCCUGAUGCUGUAGUUUGUCUCGCCUUUGGAUUACUCCUGAUUACUACUAGUAUUAUGAUCAAAUACUAUUCUACCUACCACCAUCAUCUCAAACCUAAUAUCUCUUUAUACCAAUGGAGUUUAAAAACUCAAAAAGCACAACUAUUUGAGCUUUUGAGAAUAUUCUAGCCUCAACUAUUAUAUAUAUAAAUAUAUAAUAUAUUAUAUAUAUAUAUUAUAUAUAUAAUAUAUAUAUAUAUAUAAUGUAGAGCUACUAUGCUAUUGGAGCCAAAAACUAGGUUGGUGUUCAUUCUUUUAUGCCUUUAGAGUCAAACAUUCUACAGUUGAUGAUAGCGUCCCCUUACGUGAGUACUCUCCCAUAGGGUUGAGUGUCAUCCAUUGCUUCCGAUAGCAUAGUAGCUUCUAUACUAUAUAUAGUAUAUAUAUAUAUAGUAUAGAACUAAGCUACUAUAUAUUAAUUUAGCCAAAAAAACCCCAAGUCAUUUGGUGCUACCAAGUUUUAGGCCAUUGGAUAAGAGAGUGUGUUUAGGAUGUAUGGGCCCCCAUAGGGUUGAUUAGCGUGGUUGGUUGAAUAGUAUGAUUUAACGUCAUUGAAAAUGAUCCAAAGGGGUAGAUCUAACGCCGAAAAACUUUAGCACCAGUGCUUCGUUCUAUUAAUAGCAUAGUACCGGAGCUCUAUCAUAAUAUAUAUAUUAUAUAUAUAGUAUAUAUAUAUAUAUAUAUAUAUAUGGAUAGGAUUUGCAUUUAAAGCGCUCCAAAUUCGAUACAAUUGGAGUGAAAAACCCUGCCAGCAUGCAACAUUUACGUGUAGCACCAUUCCAAGGAGCUUUACGCGGAUUUAUGCAUUAAAUACAUUAUUUCCACAAUUGAGAUUCUUCGGUAAAGUCUCUGUCUCAACUUCGAGUCCGUGCCGUUUUGUUCAAAGUGUCAGAAUUUAGCGAGACUGUUAUCAGCGUUCCCCUCUGAGUAUAAUUUAUGUUUUUUGAACCAAUCCAUCACCAAAACUCAACGUUUCGCAAUAAAUGAUGCUUCUCGGGAAGUGCUCCAUUUCCAACAAAUUUCUAAUAUGCAAUUUAAACCCUCCAAACUCAAUAUUUCCCUUCCAAUAAUUCACCAGUGCGAUAAUUCACACAAUGUGCUACCCUUGAGUUUCGUGCAAUUCAGUAUAUAUGAAAUGCUCAUACCUUUUCCAUUAAAACCCAAAUUCCGCAAAGGUCAUAUAUGAUGAGCAGCCAGAUUUCUCGAGACCGUACAUCGAACAUAAUAAUCUGCCUACACCAUGGCAUCGGCUAUAAGUUAGUACAGUUGAAAAAAGCUAUUGAAUUACUAGAACAGAGGUCGGUACCGACAGAAGCCAUCUACACUCAACGGCCCUAUUUCGAAAAUACGAGUUAGUAUUCAUUUUAAGGUGAAAAAGUAAAAUCACGUAUUAAAAUCUUUAUUUUAAAUAUUUUUGCCUGAAAUUUAUUCGGACUAGUUUAAAAUUAAAAUACACACGACAAACAGCUAAACAGAUGUCAAAUUUUUAUAGGGAGAAAAUUCAAUCUCACAACUCAUUAGGAAUAUUCCUACUCUAUUAUUAUUAGUUACUUCUUACUUUCUUUUUAUUUGCGUAUGAAUGAUGAUGGCUACGAACAUACGAAAAACAUGAUUGCGUGAUUAUAUCUUCUAAUAGUUGACAAUGACAUUUUUAAUAGAAAGCUUCUAUUAUAUAUGAUUGACAUAUACCGUGUGGAAUAAUCGGGGGGCGGUUAAGCAAGGCCAUGUUGCCUGCUUAAUGACUUGAAUAUCCUUCAUGCCAUAUCUAUGCUUAUAUUAUAAUCAUAUUUUACUUGAAUAAUAUUAUUUUAUGAUUAUUUGUUAUAUUUCUGUAUUUAUGAAGGCCAAUGUUCCUCUUUAAUACAGUAUACCUUUCAUAUCUAUGCAUAUAUUAUAAUUAAUAUUUCUACUUGAAAAUAUGUUUAUGAUUUAUUUUGUGUAAUUUUCUUAUUUUAUGAAUCAGAUAAGCUUAACAAAUUAUAGCACAAGCUGCUUAAUAUAGCCCACCUCCAAGAUAUAAUUAAUAAACGACUUAAAAUAGUCAAUUGAAUUUAAUAAACUAGACUAGAAUAUCAUCGAAAAUUAAUAAACUAUUGACUAAAAGGCCAUCGAAUUUAUAAUUGGCAUAGAAAUAGUCAAUCUAAUUAUUCAUAUCUCACUUUGAAAAAUAAAAAAAACUACAGAUUGUCACAAUUAUAGCCCCCACCUAAGAAGAUACAUUAAUAAAAAAUUGUACUAAGAAUAGCCAAUCGAAAUAAAUAACAGGACUAGAACAGUCAUCGAAUUUAAUAAGUUGAAUUAGAAUAGUCAAUUUAUUAUCAUAUCAGUUUGAAAAAAAAAAAAAAUUACAAGACUCCCCGAAAUUAUAGGAGAGAGAAUAAACAUGAGCUAUAUGCAAACAAUUGAAUAUUCAUGAUUUGCGUUGUCUCAUUUGGUCUGUGUGUAGUCCUUCGUUUAAUCCGACUCCAAUAGGUCAUCUCUUACAGGAAAGUUUCCUCGUCCUCGAGAAUACACAUCUAUGAAACUUAUAUUGAAGCUACAAUAUUUUUUGCCACGUGGCAUGUUUCACCUGCCCCACUCCUCUAAUUAUAAUGCAAGGUGCAAUAUUUAAUUAUAUACAACUUUAAAUCCAACUUUAAAUCAAACCACCUUCUCUUCUUCUAACUUCAAUCCUUCACCUUCCCAACUCCUCUAAUUGAUUGCAAAAGCGCGAACAUUUAAUUGCAGCACCAUAUUAAUAUUCUAUUUUCAAUGAGUAGUUUUAUAACUUUAUACCACUCCCUCCUCUUAUUAAUGUUCCCGCCCUUCUCUUUUGUAACUCUUUUGCAUGAUCAUAAAAACAAGUAUAUGAUCGUUUAAUCUCCCACUCCACACUCAUUCUCUCUCUGUUCUCUCACUGUGUUAGUGAAAGAAGAAGAAAAAGAAGAAAAAAAAAGACAGAGCUCUGAAGAACAUUGUCUCUUUCGAGAAGAUCAUUUCCUGCGAAGCCAAAGCCGCGCAUCCAUAUAAGCUGCCAGCUAACCAGUCCGUGCGGGAGCCUUUACUCGCUAUAUGAAUUUAGUCAUGCAAAUGACUGUGCUUAAUAUGAUAUUAGUCUUGCCUAUAUUAUCAAUAAACCUGUAAAUAUAAUUUUCAUUAAAAUUUUCAAAUUUUACUUCUAUUAUUUACCCGCCCUGGCCACGCGCUGGUCUUUACACUAGUUAUAUUAUAUUCUACCUAUAGCAUAUGAGAUCGUUAAGUAUCUAAUAAGAGAGAAUGCCUAUUUGCACAGUUAAAAGUUGGAUAUAAAUCUUCACAUGCCAACCAUCUAAGAGUUUAACAGUAGUUUUUUAUAUUUAAUAUUAGAAUAUUGAUUGAUAAAGUAGUGUGAAAAAAACUUGACCCUUCUUAUUAUAAAGGAGAAAAAUUUACACCAACUUUUGGCUGUAAAUAUAGCUAGCAUUGUGCUCAAUACAUAAGAAUAACUAUAAUAUUUUAUAUUAAAAUAGUAUUUUAGCAAAUUAGAUUUAAUAAAAUUAAGGCAAUAUAGAAAGUUUUUAAUUAUCAUAUAUUAUUUCUAUAUCAAAUGACUAUCAACGUGAGUUACGACCUUUUGACUAAUUCACAAUGGUUGUGAACUAUCCAGACAAGACUGUUUAAAUCCUCACAUCUUUAAUUAAUGACUGGGGAUACCACAGCUUUCGGUGAGAUAAAAAUCGUGAACACCCCCACUUUAGCACAUUAGGAAAUAGGCUCUCAACUUUCUUUUUUGUGGAUUGAGAUUUCUCUAAUAAGUAUUUAUCUAAAUACAUUAAUUUUUUUUUUUUCAAAAUCAUAAGUAAUUUGAUCAAAUUCAAUAGGUUCGAUUAAUUUUUACUAAUAAACUAGAAAAAAAACAUUAAAUAUAUAGAUAAUAUUAUCCUUAAGUUUUUUUUAAAAAAAAAUAAUCAACUUCACUAUGCCCCUAAGUUAAAAGACUAAAAUAAAAAAAGGAAAGUUAAAACAGCCUCAGUCAAAUAAGUUGAAAUUCGACAUGCACCAGUGUUACACUGUAAAACUCAUGAACCAACAUAAUAUGUAAUUAUUAAUAUUCUUUAAAUUGAAAUUGUUAAUUUACUUGAUGUGAUCUAAAAACCUAAGAGCUUAUGUAUCAAAAAUUGGUUCAUUUAAAGAUCUUAUUCUAUGCCUUAAGUGUUUAAAAAAUCGUGAUAUGAAUGAGAAUUAUUAUUUAAUCUAUAAAAAAUAUUGUUCAAAAUGUAAGUUUCAGUAGAUGAUCUAUUAUUGAGCUUUAGCGGCGCCAUGCUGUGUAUGAGAGAGACCUUAUGAUGAGAAAUGCCACUUGUAAGCUAAAGUUAGGCGUAAAGGAUUUUGCCCAACUUAUUCAAGAAUUCACACAUUUGAAUUUGUAAUAUUAAAAAUUUAAAUGUUGAUAAAAUUACUGUGAAAGAAAUUAGUCUUGAACAGCUGAGAAUAUAAAAUUAUAUGUAAAAACAUUAUAUAACUUUCUGAAUUAAAACCAUUUAAUUUAGCUACUCCAUCUUACUAAAUUUAAUUUUACUAUCGAAUUUUUAAAGUUUGUUGAUUUUAGUCGAUCAAUGACACUUUGACUUUAAAUCUUGAUGUAUCCGUUACCCUUUAUAGCGUUAGUUAGUAUCUUUUUAUACAUUUUCGAUCGUAAAUAAUAAAUUUUACUAAAAUAAGUAGUUAGCUCAAAUUUUGAAGAUUAUAAAUGUUGUGACUAACUCAAAUUAAAUGAAUUGAGAGAUUAGACAGUAAAAUCAAAUUUUGAAAGAUACGAAGCAAGUAGCAAAUCAAAAAUAAUCUAAGUUUUAAAAUAAAUUCGUUUGUUUUUUCACCAAAUAUACUCUCGCUGGUGUAGAUAUUAUACUGGCCUUCUUCGAAAUAAAAUACUCUCUUUUGUUUAAACUUCUAAGAAAUAAUUUUUUUGGGUGUUUAUACAUACACCAAAAAAAAAAAAAAAAAAAAAAAAAAAAAAAAAUCUGUAGUUGUCGAAUGAGUCAAAGCGAUUAUCCAACAGCAAUAAUGGUCUCCUGGCGCCUCUUAUUCAAGGGCCCCCUUCCGUCUAUAUAAACACCAAUGUAUAGAGUGCCACCCCCCCAACAAGGCUGAAAUUAACAAAUGGGUUGAAAAACAAAAAAAGCAAACUAAAAGGAACUAUGAGUGUAAAGAAAAACAAUCAUCCCCACCCCGAAUAGUCGUUUCUGUGGGACUACUUGUGCUCUGCUCCGGGCAUUGAGCUCACAUCUGCAUCAGUCGCAUUGGCCGGGAUGCCUGGAACGAUGGGCGACGUCGAAUCCCUAUCCGUCGGCAUCGGGCCGGAACUGGCUCGAUGGAGGUUACACUCAACUGGCACCCUUAGACAAAGCCACUCCACAAGCUUCGCUGAACCAGCAUGAUAUCUGAUGCAUUUCCUAUCAUUGGCCUCGCGCCGUUGUUGCUGCUAUGUGUAUCGAAGCCCAAUGCUACAAUGGCCACUCGGCCAGCAAUGUGACUAUACAACGACUGGCGAGAUGAACGCCUUUGGCGUCACCAUACGUUCUCUAGGCACGCCUCAACAAGUUUAUCACCAUCGGCUGUAUGACCGCUGGCCUACCUCAUAAGGAGCAACACGCCAAAUAGGCUAUGGCGAAUAGUAGCUAUUGUCGCGGCGUGUGUAUCAAUGUGCAGAGGAGGGACGACUUGAAACAAUGGCUCGUGCCAGCUGGCAAUCGGAUGGCUUGCCCCAGACUGCCAUCCGCGAAGGGAAUGUGUGCAGCUACCAGAGUUGUGGUGUUGCGUCGAAAACUAUUCACUCGCACAACACAUACAAUUUGAGCCGGGCAACUAGCCGCCGCGUGGUGGAUGAACGCGCCUUCAAUUUCAGCACCUCCUACAUCAGCUACGCGAUGAGCUGUACGGAGAACUGCUGGCCGUUGGUGAUCAAUCGGGCCGUAAGAAACAAAGACGUGCUGGGAACCGCGCGAACAUGAACUUCCUACUGCAUGCCGUAGAGGAGAACAGCACGCUGCCUAGAUCUCCGCCAGACGGGCCCGCUAUGCUCUGUAAUUGCUUCCGAGGGUUAUCAAGCACACCCUUAUCUACCCCACGGGUGCCAGGUUGCAUUCUCUCUCUCUCUCUCUCUCUCUCCUCCUCUCUCUCGUUACAAACAUCUUUCUAUUAUUUUGUGGAUGCUGUGAGAAAGUUUUUCUGGCUCGGAUAGUUAAGAGCAUAUAUAAGAUUAUAAAUUAACCAUCUUUAAAUGUUAUAAAUAAAUAUUAUUUUGAUACUGAUAUACAUUAUAUUUAUAUUAGGCGAUUCAUACGUCAAUCAGUUAAAAAGGGGUAUUUAAUGUGAAUUAAAAUAAUGGUAUCGAAAAAUUCUAAUAAUAAUAAUUAAUUAUGAUAUUUGAAAUAUUUUUGCAAUGGUAGCAUAGUGUUGGAUUUGGUAUAUUUAAUUAUUAGUACUUAGAGCGAAUACAUGUGCCAAAAGGUAGGGCCUCCAAAAAAAGAGGGGUGAUUUUUGAUGAGAAGAGUGAACGCAAGCUGUAUGUUAAAAAACUAUAUAUAUACACACAAAGUGAAUAGUUUUUUUUUUUUUUUAAUACAAAAUAGGUUAAUUAAUCUUUCUUAAAAAACAAUAGUAGUCCUCUUUGAAAUAUAAUUUGAAAAGUAAACUGCACAGAUCAAAUUGCCCCACGCCAGUUAAAUCUCUGCGUCUAAACUCAAUUUUGAGACUUGGAUCCUUGAUGAACAUUGUGUGAGCGGGAAUGGAUAAUCGACAAGUAAUCUAAAUUUAAGUUAAUUUUUUCUUUGGGAAUUUUGUGAUAUGUGAACAGAUAUUGAUGACGUGUGCAUAACAAGGAUGGGUCCUCCAUGCUCGGGAUUCACAAAUCGACAAGUGGUCUGCGAUGCAGUCCAUGCAACGGAGUCACAUGCGACCUUAUAAGGAACUGCUACGCGCGAAAAUCUCUCAGCGGCAGCCGAAGCUAGGUUAUAGGGAGCUCUUCCACCUUUUUUGGCAAGGCGUUUAUUUGGUCUUGAGUAUAGUAAAAAUUAAUUUAUUUAAGAAUAAAAUAAAGUUCAGAUUUAACAGCAAGAGAUUAAAUUAAUUUUGUAUUUUGAUAAAAGUUAAAUGUGUUCCGGCAGAGCAAUAAAAAAAUAUAACGUAUGGAUAGAAAGUAUGGAAUAUAAGGAAAAAUGAUGAUAGUUAAAUACAAAAAAAUGAUUAUACUCCUCAUUUAAAUUGAAUUUGAAUUAAUUAAUUUAAAUUUUAUAUUUUAUAUUUUAAAUUUAAAUUUAUAAAAAUCAUUUUAAUUUUAAAAAUCAUAAAUUUAAAUUAAAAAUAUAAAAUAUAAAGAUAUUUAAAUUUAAAAAAUUUAACAUCUAAAAUUUAAAAUUUAAAAAUUAAAAAUUUAAAAAAUUUUUAAUUUAAUUUUUAUAAUUAAUUUUAAAUUUUAUAAUAAAUUUAAAAUUUACCUCUUGUUCCUUGGAUACAACUUGCUUUAGAACAAGCUUGUUCUAGGUAGCGGUGAAACUAUUGGUUCGCCACCAAAAAAAAUUAGUAUUAGGAUAUAAGGAGGCGAACCACAAGAAGACUAUUCCUUCUUAUAUGGCGCCAUCCAAAGUUAGUUUUGUUCGCACGAGUUGACACUGAAAAUGCUUUCUUUUUUACAAUCGAUCAUCCAAGAUUUAUAGAAAGCAAGACUUUUUCAGUGAUUGGGCAAGUGAUCGUCUCUAGGCUGUUUCGCGGAGUCGAAAAAUAUUGUAUGCCUCCAACGCCAUUAAAUUAAAUUUUUUAAAUAGGCAACUGUUAUUAAAUUUUAAUGUGGGAAUAUUAUGCAACCUAUUCCUCCAACUAAUAUAUUAAAUUGGCGUCAAAGCUUUAAAAAUGUUUAAAUCUUAGUCGUCAAGCAAAUGUUUUAGCUCGCUAGAAAGACAAAGGGAUUCUAUUUAGUUACUCAUAUCAUGCUCCUAAACUGUUAGUCGUUGUAGCAUAGAAAGAGAUAUUGCAAAGUCUAUAAAAAUAAUAUGGAAACUCUAUAAAAGAUUCGCAUUAGUAUAAUAUAAGUCUAACAUGUGAAGGAAUGGGAGGAUUAAUUAUCCCGUAAUAAAGGCUGACUUUUGAGUCCAAUGUAAGACGCAGUAUUGGACUUAGAAAUAGUUAAUUUAAUUUGAAUGUCAUGUUGGAAUUUUUAUAUAUGUAAUUUAUAUGAGAAGGACACUUGGGUGGGACUCAGUAUGGACCGAUCAUUUUAAAAAGUUUGAGCUCUUUUGAAACAAAAUCAAACUUCACAAACUAAAUAAGUCAUGCCAAUAUUGCAGGAAUUGAUAGUUAAUUAACUCGUUCAUAUAGCCCUUAUGCUCGCUAUUAUUGCUUAAUUUGAUGCUGUGAGUCUAUAUCAAAUGCAGCAUUUGCAUCAGCCUCGUCUUAUUAUUUAUUAUCAUGUUAUGUAUUAUGUUAAUUGAAGACCGAAGGUCUGGUAUAAAAUUAAGGAGGAGAACUUCCAACAAUCAUGGAGGCUGGCUACUAUUGGAAGAAAUCAGAAAUUAGCCAUAGGCGCUUGCAUUUAAGAGUGUUAAGACAAAAGGCUCGAACAGCGACGGAAUAAGUUUCUCAUAGACAAACACAUAGGCAUGGAGCUAUGGCAGCAGUAUAAUAAGAAUCUCAACAGCAAUCAUGUAGUCGUUAGCAAUAAAGCAGAGCUUAAAUUAUAUAAUAGAGAGCAAAGAAAGAAUUCGGAAAAGAGAUGCUUAUUCUUUCGCUCGAGGUAAGCCAUAGAAACAUAGUUCACCUCUCUCGGAUUGUUUUAAGGUGAAGUUCCAAUGGCUGGGUGUAUGGAAUUAUUUCGCAAUGGCGAACCUUAUUCCAGUUUUGAUUCAUGGCAACGGUCGGUAAAUCUUAUAAAUCUUUGAGAGAGCUCGCUUUGAAAAUAGCUCUCCCGAUGUCUGCGGAAGCACUUGGCAUACUUGCAUUCGUCAUGCGCGCCCUCCGAUAAUUCAUGAAUGUUUAAGUCUCGCAAAACACCUUUUGAUGAUCAUUAAUGCCAAGGUCUCUGAUUCGAGCUUCUAAUGCUCGUCCUAGGGAUAAGACACAGUUUGUCAGCAUUGGUUGCAAGGUGAGCUUGCGUUAUUAGACCAGAAACGCCUACAAACAUGGUUGUUGAUUGAUAAAAGCCGAUUUUAUAGUUUGAGUGGUUCUUUUGGAUGCUCUCACCGCCGUAAGAAAGCAUUCGUCUUUGAACGAAAAUGAAAAGAGAGAUGAGCCUUUCAUCAUCCUUCUUAUCUGCUUAUGAGGAGGGUCGCUCAGCGAACUUCUUGAUGAUCAGAUUAAGUAUAGAUGAAGAUGUGAAAGCGAUUAAGAAAUUGCAUGUACUAGCAAAAGCUUGUCUUUAAAUGUCAAGGCGAAUGACAGACCCUCAUGAAAGAGUAGCAGAGGAACUUGACAGACUCAAAAAAUGGAAGCCAACAUACCUGGGAAGCAAGCAUAACACAUGCAGAUAUGAAAGUGUGCUUUGACAAUCUCUCAAGCUACAGCCGAGAAGAAAAACACCCGGUUUUAAUUUAGAAGAAAGAAAGCUAUGCAUAAGCAUAACCUGACCUUGAUGGCUAUAUUAGUAUAAUAUAUAUAUAUGAGAGAGAGAGAGACAGGAGAGAUGAGAGAGAGACGAGAAGAAAAGAGAUGAGAGAGAGGAGAGAGAGAGAUAGAGAGAUGAGAGAGAUAAGAGAGAGAGGAGAGAGAGAAUUGUGCUUCUAUGCUUUACAAUAAAAUACGCAGAGUUAUUGGUGCCUGGUAGAGUUUAUUGUCGCAUUGAUUAAGAAUGUGGUCUAGAAUGAUGUGGAGCCCCUAUGGGUUGAGUGGUUGGUUGAUUGAAUAGUAUGAUAGCCGGAUGGAAAUAGAUCAAAAGGGUAAUCUAAACAGUAAAAAUUUACAAGGCACCAAGUGCUUUGUACGUUUAGCCAGCACUACCUGACUCAUAUAUUAUAUAUAGAUAUAUAUAUUAUAUAUAGAGAGAGAGAGAGGAGAGAGACGAAGAGAGAAGAGAGAGUCUGGCUUGUAUAUUUGUUAAUAAGCACGAUGAUCUGCGCGUGCUAAUCAAGUCAUUUUUGGCUGUUCGGUACUUUCGAAGUCGACAAUCCGCUCGUUAGGCUUGACUAAGUAUUGGGAAGUUAGUUAGAAAAUAAAUUUUGUGAUUUUAUUAUCCAUUUACUAUAGUGGGUCGAACGGUACUCAAAGAUCAUAUAAGCAUGUAAAAUUUACACGAAAGUGAUUAUAUGAUAUCUAAAUUUUUAAUAAAGAAUUAGUCUUAUUUAUACUAGUACAAAAAAAUAAUUAAAAUAUAAUCUUAUUAAUUGUUGGCCCCUUUGAUCACUAGUAAUUGCUAUCGAAAAAUUAUAAAUUUAUUUUCUAGAUAUUUUCAAAAUAUAUUUAGAUCAAUUUAAACGAGGCCCAAUGUCGAGUCAGUGUAGGUCGAGCAUAAAUCGAAAUGACUUGAACAUGGAGUAGGCCCCCCCCGCCCGCCCGCCCGACCGUUCUAAUAAAAGCACCAAAGCUAACUCUCUCUCGCUCGUAGUAUUUACUAUCUAGUUUCUAGCCCUUGCAUGUAUUAUUCACCCGCCCUCUCUACAUCCAAGACAUAUAAGGCGCUCGGGACUAUAUAUGAGUGAACAUUAUUCCUUAUUUAGUAUCUAUAUAUUUAAACUCUAGACAUUUAAAUCUUGAACUUCUAGAUGAAAUGCAAGAAAUUCAUCUUUUGGUAUCUUCCUAUCUUCUUAGAUUAACGUGAAUUUGUUAAGCCAUAUGCGAUUGCAUGUAACUUCGGGUAGUAAUAAAUAAAAGUUGUGGUUGUUGUUGGCAAAAUAUUCUUAAAUCAUAUUGUAUUUUGCUCUCCUCUAAUGACUUCACAUAAGAACACCACGUUUGGCAUUCUCUUAUGAGUGAAAAAGGCUUUGUUGACCCACACCUUUGCAUUAAACCACAAUGAAAUUAAUCAGCCAAAGAGUAGACAAAUAAACAAAAAAACCUCAAAUCUCACUCACGCCUAAUAGAACAAUCAAUUCAUUGAGAAUGAAGCUAUAGCUAGGCAUCACCAAUUGCUUACAAUAUCAACAACAAAUUUCUAUCUACUACGUAGGCUUUGCCUCUCUCACCUACAAUGUUGGAGGAAAAUCCAAAAUCUCUAUUAUAAAAAAAAACAAAGUAUUUUUAUUAUAUUAUUUAUUUUAUUUAACUUAUUUUUAUUUAUUAUCAUAUUCUUACGUUUGUCCCGUCGUGGCGGCCCGCUUUAUGACGCACCCCCUUCCCUCGUGCAUGGCAUAGUGUGCUCUGUUAGUUAAUUCUGGCGUACUAUACGUGAAUUAUUCAAAAAAAAACGCAAACCAUAUAUAAAAUACUCGUUUCGCCGAAAUUUUCACAAAAUUCAGAAUAAACGCAUUUUUUCCCAUGCUCAGAGAAUUACAUGAUCAAAUCGGGCAUUCUCACCAAUUAUAAUUCUGAAAAAUGCGGAUUAGCACUCUGAAAAUAUGAAAUUUUCGAAAAAAAAAAUAGAUUGACUGCUGCGGAAAGGAGAAUUUUCGAAUCAUGGCAUGGCGCAUAGACCACCGCUCUGCGAGUCCGUGCACUCUUCUCGUGAGGCGUAGCUGAGGCAAUCUGGCCCGUUUCGACUUUGGUGAAAAAGAAAUAAUGGAGACCGAAGCAAAAAGGAGAAGUGAGGAAGAAAAGAAAAAAAAAAGCGGAACAAGAGAAGAAGAAUCCGGUGUGAGGGUUUGGGAUGGCGGGUCCAGGAGUGUAGGGGUUCGAAUGGCGGGCGUCACGAGGGCUGCACUCAGUCUAUCGUGACGCGUGCAGGAGUGAGAGGUCACGGUGGCCUCUACUGCUCUGGCGACUGCCUUUGUUGCGUGAGAUCGUGACUCUCUCUCUCUCUCAUCAUGUAUAUAUUAUACUAGUAAAUGAGCGUGCAAAUGCACAUAAUAUUAUUAGAAAACAUUAUAUAAUUUUUUUAAAUUAUUUUUAAUUAAGGCAUAUUUAUAUGAUUUUCAAAUAUGUAUCUAAAAAAAUUUAAAAUAAUAAAUCACGCUAUUGAGAAAGAUAUGCUUUAAAUGAUAAAUAAUAAAAUAAUCUCUAAUGGCAAAAAUUAUUUAUUGAAUUAAAUAGACAAAAUAAAAUCUGGUUAGGAAAAGUAAAAUUUUGAAAUUAAUAUCGAAAAUAUAAAAUCCUGUUAUCUUAGAAAAGAAAAUAUUUUUGAAAUAAAUAGUUAAUAUCUAAAAAGAUAUUGUAAAAUAAAAUAGGAAAAUAUCUUUUUAGGAUUUCACACCGUAAUCUGUUAUAGUAAAAUCUUACUUUUGAAAUUAAAUAGAAAAAUUAUAUUUUAGGAGUUUACAAUCAGUAAUCCUGAAUUAUAGAGAAGCUUACGUAGUUCAUUGCUGUUGCUAUUUAUAUUUUUAUUCUGUAUAUUUAAAUUUUUGUACGGAAAGAGAAAAUGGACGCUAAUUUUUCGCCGAAAAAUGGUCUAUGUCGACAGACCGCAAAUUUGAAUAUACGUGUUUAUAAUAUAGUAAGUAUAGAUAAUAUUAUUCUAUAUUAAUUUAUUUUAUAUUUAUAGAAAUCAUAAAUUAUUUAUAAUACAGUAUAAUCUAAAAAAAAUCAAUUUAAUAGACGAAUUUUUAUUCGCAAAUUUUUAGAUCGAUAAAUAUACAAAUUCUCAAAAGUUAUAAAUCGCAUACACGAAUUAUUGACGAAUCAAUUUUAAUAACUAUAUUUUUCAAGCAAAUUUAAAAAUUAAGAUACGAAUUUUAUUCGUUAUUUAUCCAUACCGAAUUUAUAUCUGUACUCGAAUUAACUAACUAUGAUAGGCGUGCAACGUUGUUGGCCAACAUUCCACUUAUCUCACCUCUUGCUUAUAAAUAGUAACUGCCACUGUCAUGGGUCUAAUACACAUACCAAGAGAUGCUUUGUUUGAUAUAGAAAAGAAAGAAAAAUUAAAGAAUGAACCUCUGUUAUUUUAAUUUUUUUCUAUUGUUUUGAUAUUUGGCUUGAUCUUUUUUACACGCGAUGUUUACAAGAUCUCCUCAAUUGUUCUUCACGAGUGCUCGCAGAAGGAGAUUCCGUCGAACCUUGGCAGGCGUGGUUUUCUCGUUUAAUCCUAUAUUAAUGAAGCGGAACUACGCCUUAGGACAAUGCUAUGCACGCUUCAGAUAAUUAUUCUUGGGAAGAUCUUCGCACAAUUUUUGGGAUUUAGGAUAAUCUGUAAGUUUAAUUUAUUUAUAUUAUUACAAAAUUAUUAGAUUUUAAGCCACAAUCAAAUUUUCAGUCGCGGUAUUUUUUCAACAUUACAAAACUUAGGCAGCGAAAUAUCUAUCGGCUAAUCAUAUAAUAGAUAAAAGAUUGGCCGGCUGGAAGAGCUUGACCUCCUUUCAUCGGAGUUGGCCUUAGCUUUAGCUAAUAUCCGCGUCUUAAUUGGCCUUCAUGCCUUUUCAUUCACCAGGCUUGGUUGGAGCAACGAAUAUUCUAACUCUUCUCAUAUUUCAACAGAAUGACUGUACGAAAUGAAAAAAGCUACAACAACUCACGUUUCAAGAAUUUUUUCCAGAUUUUUAUUAUGGCCUCUACCGUCUAAAUGCUGCAAUUGUUUAGCUUGGCUUGCUUCCAUGAAGUGGAGUGGCUAGUGGAACCUCCCCUUGUUUUGCGUCGUUGAACUGAACAGCCCAAGAAUAGAAACAAAUUCUAAAACUUCAGAACUAAAGAUGGCAAAUGCUAAACUCUAGGGGCUGAUGCAUACAAUGUCGGUGGACUCGAUGUGAUUGGAUGUUCUCCGGUCAGUUUCAGCAAACUGAUUCCUGGCAUGUAGGGUGUUAAACACAACAAAUUCAAUCUUUAUUGGAAGACCGCGCCGCCGAGUCUUCAUGUGAGUGACUGACUGUUGUGAAUAGAUACUAAACGUGAUAAUUUAAAAGAAAAGGGGUUGGCUUGGACGGAAUCAUGGCAAUCUGUGCUAAGAAGAAAAUAGAUAUUUAGGACAUAAACCAUCUUCUUCGAGUUGCAGAGCUGGAACAAUCAUAAAAGAGAGAAAAAAUAAAAAAGAUAAAUACAGUAAAAUAGAUUACUAACUAAAGAGAAAAUUGAUGCUGUACUUCGAUCUACACAAAUAGUUUCAAUCCAACCCUUUUUUAUAUCUUAUCGUCUUAUAUAAACUUAAUUAGAAGCUAAUACUGCCUUACGCACCAUACACACAGCACAAUGCCAACUCUUCAUGCAUCUCCAGCCUCACAUUAUCUAGCAUAUGGCCGUAGAAUAUACAAUAAUGUGCCUUUACAUAAGAAGCCUACAGUAAACAUAUUCAAUUCUAAUAUAAUCUAAAUAAAUCUUAUUCAACAUAAUUUUAUAAUUCAUUUAAUUUUUAUAGAUUUAAAAUUUAUUCGUAAUUUAACCAAAAUCCUAACUCAAUCACUGCAGCGGUCAUCCAUUAGGCAGCAAUUUGAUUACCUGCCUAAAUAGUCCAAAAAAGCUACGCGUAAACUAUUUUGUAAAACCAAUUCAGAAAAUGAGAAACAAUUUAUUUAUUUAUUAUUUUUUUUUAAUGUUUUAAGAAAGAGUAGACUAGCUACCUGCUUCAUUCAUUCGAAAAUAAACUAGGUCAGAAUAAACAGUUGAAAGACAGCAAUAGGGCGUUCCACAAUUUAUUAUAUGUUUAAUUUAGAUUCUAUACAAUCUGCAUGAUAACACUAAUAUAUAUUCCAUGUAUAUACAAUGCCACUUUGAAACCCUAGUAUGUACACAUCACAUGUAUCUAUUUUAGCACACAAAACCUCUGUCAUCACAUCCUUUAGCCCUAUUAAUGUUCAUGAAGGGGCAGAGAGUAAAGUGUCCCUCCAGCUCAUCAGCUCCUGCUCUGAAGCCUUCGACAUCUUGUUGCUCUUACCUCACCGCACACCUCCCUGCACAGCCUUCGCCCGCCUGACCGGUGCCGCGCUCCUCCCGCCACUUCUCUAGCCAGCGUCGCCACGUGCUCCACCUCAUCCUGUAGCCGCCAGGCCAACAGUCGGCUGACGGUAUGCCAAAUCCCUGUUCAGAUAUGUACCCCUUGCUGCCACGCUCGAGCCUGGAGCUAACCCGCACGGACCACUCCGCGAAGACAUUUAGACCGGAAAAGCGCGGGUAGAGGCUACUAAAAGCCAGUCAACGCAAUGCAGCAAGCGAUCAAUCGCGCCGAUACUGCCGUCCGAGGCUGUAUAAUGAUAAAGAGAAACGAAUGCUCGCUUAGCCAGUGUGCGAGGCCGCAGCUGGCUUUCUGCCUUCUUGCGCCGCUUGCCCGAGCUGGGUUGAGCAGAUCGCCGCGGAGCGCCCUUGCACCAUGGCGGAAUUGUCGUGAGACGAAGCUAGCAAAAUAAAUGGAUCUGAACGUCUUGAAAGCCUCCGGCAAGUACUUCUAUCAAUGGCUGGCAUCGCUAUGCCGGAGGGGGGUUAUCGAGACAGAGCAUGAGCACGGCCUUGAACGGGCGGUAUGGGCGCGUAUCCGUCAACUUGUCCUUAAACGAUGAGGCUGAAGAGGAGGGAGGCGUUCGCCAGUUUCGGAAGUAGUAUUCGGACGAGGAGAUUGAAGUGGGAUUCGAGGUAACAAUGCUUUCGCGCCAAUCGGCAGAAUUUCAGUGAUUGUAGCUUGGUCAGGGUCCGAGCAAUGGCUCCGCGUAGAGCGGAGAAGCGGAGGCGGCGGCCGCAUGCUGGGCUGCCUGCUGCUGCUCGCUGCUGCCCUCAUGCUCGGUUUAAGCAGGGCGGCACCCGUAGGUGUCUAAAGGCGUGAGAUCCAGCACGCGGCCCCGAACGUCGUUUAGGACUCGUGCGGAACGCAGCUUCGCAUACUCUCGCGAGUUUAAGCUCGUCGAAGCGAUCGAAUGACGACCCUCGACUGCUGAUUCAAACAAAACAAUGCAUGUAUAUAUGACGUAUAAAUUAGUGAGACAGUAAUCCAUAUUUUUUGUCUUAUGAAAUGUACAUAAUGGGUGGUAUUACUUUCUUAUUAGGCUUGGUGUUUGCAUCUAGGCUAAAAAUGUUGAACUUCAUACACAAUUUCCCCUCCUAUUUUUUGAUGCCCGAAUGAAACUAUAAAAUAAGAAACAAUGGUGGCGAGGAGUCCAACCAAAGAAAUGUAGAAAAGGACAGACCGAAAAGAAGAGAGCCAAAGAUGAUUCUAUAAGUAAAACAAGAAGAAAUCCUUCUUUGAGAAUAGCCUAGAAAGGUUAUGAGCUACUUAUUUGCAAGCGUUGAAGGACAGUAAGCAUAUAUCGCAUAUAUCAGCUUUUAAUUUUACUUGAGAGAAUGAUCUUUGAAGUCUAAAGGUCUUAUUAUUAGUCACGCGGAGAUAUACAUGAGAGCAGAGCUAUAACAUAAAUUAAUGGUAAAAAGUGUAUAAAAGACCCCUCGAGCUUUAAGUGCCUAUGUAUCUAACAUACCGCUUUCUCAAGCCCUUUUUUUUAUUGAGACCUCUUAAUUAAUUUUUAAAAAUAAGUAAAUUUUUAGUCAAAAAAAAUUUGGAGAUUCUAUCAAGUUCAUUGAUGCAGAUUUCACCAAAUUAAAUUAUUUUAUUUUGUUCGAAAAUAGCCUAGGUAGUUAACAGUUCAUAACUAAUAGAACUAUUAAAUUUGAUAAAAUUUUUAAUUUAACUAAAAAAAAUUGGUAAGUAAAGGUGCAUUUCAGAAAUCGUUAAUUGUUGAGGGUCUCCGACAUUUUACUCACAAUUAAUUUAGCCCGUGGCCUUGGGAAAUGGUAAGUUUCGGUGGAAGCUUAAAAGCAAAGUACAAAGAGAGGCACGUACUCAACGGAAAACUUGGGUUUUAGAGCAGAGAGAGAGAGAGGAGAGAGACGCCGAGUACGUGUAUAUUAUAUCCUAUCGUUCGUCUAGCAAUCAUAGCCGUGUGAUCAUCCCUUAAAGGCUAAAAUUUAACCGUGUGAUCUAUUUGUAAAAUCUAGUUUCUUGCUAAUUAAUACGCUGUUAGGGAACUUGGGGUGAUCCUGGCUAGAAUUGUACGUACGUGGCCCAUGCGGAUCUUUUUUCCGUUUCUUGUGGAGGGGGGUGUAUUUUGUGGACACGUGGCAAUUUUUUAUGUGACAUGUGGAUGAGGAGAUCUAUGAUAUUUAACUGUGUCCAAGUGGGAGUGUUUGAGUAUUUAUUCAAGAAUAAUUAUUAUAAAUAAUUAGUUAUAAAUACAGUAUAUAUAUAUAUAUAGAUAGGGCUGCAAAGAGCGAGCCGGCUCGGUGUUCGACUCGCGUUCGAAGCUCGAUAUUUGGCGUCGCUCGAGCGCGAUUUCGAAAUUAAAUAAGCCGAGAGCUUGAACAAAAAAAAAAAAAGCUCGAAAUUCAUUUUCAAGCGAGCUUGGUAUUACUCGGCUCGUUCGAAUUAGGCUCGAAAAGCUCGAAAAGCUCGAAAUAUAUAUAUAUAUAUAAUAUAAUAAUAUAUAUAUAUAUAUAUAUAUAUAUAUAUAUAUAUAUAAUAUAUAUAUAUAUACAUACUAUGCUAUCGAAAGUAUAGAGGAUCUGGUGACUUUCGAUUUUUUGAUUCUUAGAUCAAUCCUUUAAUCAUUUCUUAUUUUUGAAUUAAUACUAUAUUACCUUGUAAGAACCACUCAAUCCUAGGAGUAUUAUUAAUUCCUAGGGGAUCGCAAUCACCCCAACCAUACAAUUCUUAAUCAAAGGGUCAAAAAUUCGAAAAUAUCAAUCUCUUUAUAUUUUCAAUAGCAUAGUAGUUCUACAUUAUAAUAUAUAUAUUAAAAAAUAUAAUAUAUAAUAUAAUAUAUUUUGAAUAUAUAUAGCGCGAGUGAAUAAUCUAAUUUAGUGAAAUUUUGGGCUAAUGUUGUUGGCCCAUAAAAAAAACCUAAUAGACAAAUAAAGAGCGAUAUUCACUAAAUUAUACAUUUUUCCUUUCUUUCUUUCUUUACAGAGCUAAAUUUCAAUAUGUUUAAUUCUCUCUUUCUCUUUUUCUGUCUCUCACCAUAAGUGGCCAAGCCGCGAAGCGCUUCCAGUUACCAAGUAACAGCUAUAUCCCGCCGUUGCCUACCUUGCUAUUUAAUUGUAUACUUGAGAAAAUAUACAGAUAUUGUUUAACGUUAAAAAUAUUAUUAUUAUAAAUUUUAAAUUUUAGUUAUAUAUGAUUGGAUAUUAAUCAAUAUUUAUUAUAUAAUUAUUUAUUUUUGACUGCAUAAAUGAAAAUGAAUAAUAUGGAGAGUUGAAGGCGGAAGAAAAGACAUUAUGAAACUGAAAUGAUUAGAUAUUAACUCAUAAAUUUUUUUUUUUUCAUAUUAUAAUACUAUAUUUUAUAUAAUUAUUUUGUACUUUGAACUAUUAGACAUAUUUUUGUAUCAAAUUAUACGAUAAUGUUCUAUACAAAUUAAACUAUUGAUCGUAUGAUGUUGAGGAAUUUCAACGGCUCGUUUAGGCUCGAGCCGCUCAACUUGAAAUUAGGCUCGCGUCGAGCUCGGCUCGAAUUAAUUUCAAAUCCAAAGCUUGGAGCUAACAUUUAGGCUCGAAAUUAAUUUCAAGCCGAAUUGAGCUGAGGUAAGCCGCUCAGCUCGGGCUCGUUUCCACGCCUACAUAUAGAACUAGGCUGGAAUACUAUUAAAUAGUACCAAGUUAUUGCUGCUAUUGAAUUUUUAGCCUUUGGAAUGAGAAAUAUGCAGUUAGAAUGAUGUGGGCCCUCUAGGGUUGAGUGGGGUGUUGAAUAGUAUAAUCUAACGGGUAAAAAAUAAUCAAGGAGUUAAUCUAACGCGCAGAAAACUUGAUAGCACCAAGUGUUUGGUGCUAUCGAUAGCAUAGCAGCCGGACUAUAAUAUUAUAUAUAUAUAUAUAUAUAUAUAGCUAGGCUACUAUACUAUCGUUAUACGGAGCGCUCCGUGCUACCAAGUUGUUUUCGAUGAUGUGGCUUCCAAAUCGACGAUCGGCUCCGUUAGAGUUAAUCUAGCACUAUUGAAAGUAUUUAGAAACUAAGAUUUCAUAAUUUUUCGAUAUCAUUUACCUAUCAAACAAGUAGUCUAAAAUUGAACGCGCUGAAAAUAAAAAUCUCAUUAAAAAUGAUGAUAAAAGAUUUAAAUCAAGAUCAGAUAUACUGAUCUUACUCUAAAUAGUGAAAAGAAUUUUUCUAUAAAAUUUUCAUCGCAUUUGGAUUGUUUUACAGCCGUUAAACUCACAAACACACCACAUCGGCCAUUAAAAUGUCAAUUUGAGAUCUUUUUGAUCACUAGUCAAAUGAUGCUCGAAAAAAUUUGGAAUUUAGUUUUCAAAUACUUUCAAUAGUGUAGAUCAAGUCUAACGGACCGAUCGUCGAUUUGAAAGCCGCAAUCAUCGAAAACACUUGUAGCCACGAGCGCUCCGUAGCUACAGAUAGCUAUAGUAGCCCGGGACUCUAAUACCUCUAUAUAUAUAUAUAUAUAUAUAUAAAGAGAGAAAGAGAGAGAGAGAGAGAGCGAGUCCGGCUGAGAUACUAUCGAUAGCACGAAGCAUUUGGUACUAUCAAGUUUUCUGCCGUUAGAUUUACCUCUUUUAUCAUUUUCAACGGUUCGAUUAUACUAUUCAACCAAUUACCCACUUAACCCUGAGGGGCCCACAUCAUCCUAACCACACAUCUUUUAAUCUAAGGACGGAAAACUUAAUAGCCCCAGUCAUUGGUGCUAUUAAUAGUAUUCCAGCCUAGUUAUAUAUAUAUAUAUAUAUAGUAGGGCUAGAAUACUUUUACAAGUAUCACCCAAGUGAUACUUGUGUGUUUUUAGCCAUUGGAUCUACUUUUUGAUUACUAAUAGUCCUUAGAUCAAACACUAUUCCACCUACCACCACCUACCACCACCUACCACCAUCAUCUCAACCUCACAUCUCUCCAUCCAAGGGCUAAAAACACACAAGUAUCACUUGGGUGAUACUUUUACAAGUAUUAUAGCUCUACUCUAUAUAUAUAUAUAUAUAUAUAUAUAUAUAGAGAGAGAGAGAGAGAGAGAGAGAGAGAGAGAGAGAGAGAGAGAGAGAGAGCUAUUAUGCUAUCGAAAAUAUAGAGAAUUUGAUAUUUCCGACUUGUUGGCCCUUAAAUCAGUCUCUUUAAUCAUUUCUAACCUUUGAAUUAGUACUAUUAUACCUUGUGGGGACCACUCAACCCUAGGGUACUACUCAACUCUAGAGGGGAGCGCAAUCAUCCCAACGUACAAUAUUUUAUUCAAGAGUCAAAAAAUCGAAAGUAUCAAAUCUUCUAUACUUCUGAUAGUAUAGUAGCUCUACAGCUCCACACACACACACACACACACACACACACACACACACACACAUAUAUAUAUAUAUAUAUAUAUAUAUAU